rnacentral:rRNA from 1 species
AUUGAACGCUGGCGGCAUGCCUUACACAUGCAAGUCGAACGGCAGCACGGGAGCAAUCCUGGUGGCGAGUGGCGAACGGGUGAGUAAAGUAUCGGAACGCGCCCAGUCGUGGGGGAUAACGUAGCGAAAGUUACGCUAAUACCGCAUACGAUCUAUGGAUGAAAGCGGGGAAUCGCAAGACCUCGCGCGAUUGGAGCGGCCGAUAUCAGAUUAGGUAGUUGGUGGGGUAAAGGCUCACCAAGCCGACGAUCUGUAGCUGGUCUGAGAGGACGACCAGCCACACUGGGACUGAGACACGGCCCAGACUCCUACGGGAGGCAGCAGUGGGGAAUUUUGGACAAUGGGCGAAAGCCUGAUCCAGCCAUGCCGCGUGCAGGAUGAAGGCCUUCGGGUUGUAAACUGCUUUUGUACGGAACGAAAAGGUUUGGCCUAAUAAGCUGAGCUCAUGACGGUACCGUAAGAAUAAGCACCGGCUAACUACGUGCCAGCCGCCGCAGUAA